GGCUGUGGUGUCUUCAAGGAUGGAUCGUAUCUUUCCAUAUUUUUUUUGUGCAAGACACCCAAGGCACUUCCUAGAGACAUGAAGAGAACUCCCAAGGACAGCGGCUAAGUGGGGUGCAGUCAUUAUGCAGCAGACUCACAAGCUUCAGCAUUUGCCAGCAUACAUGGGCACAUUACUGGAUUGAUGUCUCACAGGGGAGCUGUGUAUUGGCAGGAACAACAGACUACAAGCGAUCUAGUUGAUGGCUGAAGUCCAACUCAGAUGUUAAUUACAGAGAAUACUUCAAAAGCAAAGGCACUUCUCAGAAUAACUUCGGAAGAAGGAUGUAACACUCACUUUUCAAUUACAAGCUGAAUUUGCUUUAACAUUUUUGACCGCAUCUCUAUUUUUGGCUACUUGUACCUUUGCUGUUCUGUAUACUUAGUGAGGCAAGGAGUAUUUGUAGAAAGAUAAAAUUAAAGCAUAUGCACUGACAUGAGAUACUUCCAUAAUGUAUGAGAA